rnacentral:rRNA from 1 species
GCUGGCGGCGUGCUUAACACAUGCAAGUCGAACGAGAACGGGUCAUAGCUUGCUAUGACUGUCAGCUAAGUGGCGGACGGGUGAGUAAUGUAUAGUUAAUCUGCCCUUUAGAGGGGGAUAACAGUUGGAAACGACUGCUAAUACCCCAUACUCCUUUUACAUUAAUUGUAAUUGGGAAAUGUUUUUUCGCUAAAGGAUGAGACUAUAUGGUAUCAGGUAGUUGGUGGGGUAAGAGCCUACCAA